UCCUCUGUAGUUCAGUCGGUGGAACGGCGGACUGUUAAUCCGUAUGUCACUGGUUCGAGUCCAGUCAGAGGAGCCA
rnacentral:tRNA from 3 species